rnacentral:lncRNA from 13 species
GCGAGGAUCCUCGUCUGCAAUCAAACCAAGGGGCCAAAGAAAGAAAUAACAAUGACCCAACACCCAACCUAGGCAUCCAAAUUACACUGUACCUUAGUCCAGCCAUGGCAAGGGCCCUUGUAAACAGAAUACAACUUUGCUUUUAGGCAGACCUUCCUACAAUGUGACACAUACAAAAAGACAAGUCUUUAAAAGCUCCUCUUGCCUGUCAGAGCCAGCCAGAGGUAUGGACUGAGUCACUGAAAGGAGCUAAGAGACAGUAGAAAGUCUGCCGAGCAUUGGAGUCACGUAGAAUAGGACAGGAACUUGGAACUUCACUAGUUUUACUUCAGCUUGGAAGAUAAACAU